UACGUAGGGUGCAAGCGUUGUCCGGAAUUAUUGGGCGUAAAGAGCUCGUAGGCGGCUUGUCACGUCGGCUGUGAAAACCUGGGGCUCAACCCCGGGCCUGCAGCCGAUACGGGCAAGCUAGAGUUCGGUAGGGGAGACUGGAAUUCCUGGUGUAGCGGUGAAAUGCGCAGAUAUCAGGAGGAACACCAGUGGCGAAGGCGGCCCGCUGGACAUGUAUUGACGCUGAGGUGCGAAAGCGUGGGGAGCAAACAGG
rnacentral:rRNA from 1 species